rnacentral:rRNA from 1 species
AACGAACGCUGGCGGCGUGUCUUAAGCAUGCAAGUCGUGCGGCAAGGCGGGGCAACCCGCCCUAGAGCGGCGGACUGGUGAGUAACGCGUGGGUGAUCUGCCCUUGGGAUGGGGAUAGCCAUUAGAAAUAGUGGGUAAUACCGAAUACGUUCGCGCCUUCGAUGGCGCGAGGAAAAGCGCUUCGGCGCUGCCCGAGGAUGAGCCCGCGUCCCAUUAGCGUGUUGGGGAGGUAACGGCCCACCAAGGCGAUGAUGGGUAGCCGGCCUGAGAGGGUGUACGGCCACACUGGGACUGAGAUACGGCCCAGACUCCUACGGGAGGCAGCAGCUAAGAAUAUUCCGCAAUGGACGAAAGUCUGACGGAGCGACGCCGCGUGGAUGACGAAGGCCGAAAGGUUGUAAAGUCCUUUUGUUGGGGAAGAAUAACCAUGGGAGGGAAUGCCCGUGGGAUGACAUGAACCGACGAAUAAGCCCCGGCUAACUACGUGCCAGCAGCCGCAGUAAUAC